AUGCUACAAGGCCUGCUAUCAUCACUAUCACCACCAGGAAGUCGUAAAUUAUAAUCAACAUUACCUAAGUCUGAACAAAACAAAUCCAACAUUUUCCCGCCUAAACUGCCUCACUCGGGACUUCGUGUUGAGCGGCCAACAACAGAUUUCUCCCUGUUUUGUCUCGUUACCGGGUUUUCUUCUCCCUCUGUUGUGCAUUAAGAGAUAUUGAAGACCCUGCUCGUGGACCAAAGGACAGUGAAAUCACCGCAAACAAGGAUGUGGAAAAGAUCGGUGUGGCUGGAGGGCAGAAAAGAAGAGGAGUGUGUGGUACCAUCUACCUGGAUAGUUGAAGGCAGCCAGAUUUUAUAUUGGCCAUCAAAAGUUGAUGCUCACAAUGCCUUAACUAGUCGAGAAGACCCAGACCCCAAAUCAUGGAGAAAAUUUCCAUUGAUAAAAGUAAAAAUAGCUUCUGACAGUUACGAGGAAUGUGAACAGUACCAGCUGACAUCAGCAGUAGACAGUGACAGAAGCAGCAGUGACCUGGAUGGGGAAGACGGUUUGACCUUGCGUGGUAGGAAGAAACGUAUGAAGAAAGCUCUGCCAAAGGACUUUAUUAGUAGUCAGGAUUUGGAUUGUCCACGUAAGUCUGUAUUCAGUUACUGACAUUUGCAAGCAUGUAUAAGGUUUUUCUAGACAAAAAUAUGUACCUACAUACAUACACUAUCUUCUACUCAUGCUCAUCCCUAUACUGUCCAAACCCCUUAUGCAAGAGUUAAUCAGCAUCUUCACUCUUUCAUCCCUCACGCUGGUAAACUCUGGAACAAUCUUCCUUCAUCUAUAUUUCCUCCUGCCUACGACUUGAACUCUUUCAAGAGGAGGGUAUCAGGACAUCUCUCCUCCCGAAUUUGACCUUGCUUUUGGACACCUCUUUUGUUUCUUUUUUAGGAGCAGCAAGUAGCGGGCUUUUUUUUAUUAUUGUUUUCUUUUUUGUGUGCCCUUGAGCUGCCUCCUGUGCUCCUGUCACGCACAAUCACUCUACUGCUAUGCUCUAGUGUCAGUCCCCUUCCCUUAACUGCCUCCUUCACACUAUCAAUCCAUCCUUUUCGCGGCCGCCCUCUCAGAUUCCUACCCCUCCCGUUUGAACUUACUAUCUUCUUCACCAACCUGUCAUCCUCCAUUCUUUCAACAUGA